rnacentral:rRNA from 1 species
UACGUAGGGUGCAAGCGUUGUCCGGAAUUAUUGGGCGUAAAGAGCUCGUAGGCGGUCUGUCACGUCGGCUGUGAAAUCCCGAGGCUCAACCUCGGGUCUGCAGUCGAUACGGGCAAACUAGAGUAUUGUAGGGGAGACUGGAAUUCCUGGUGUAGCGGUGAAAUGCGUAGAGAUCGGGAGGAACACCAGUGGCGAAGGCGGCUACCUGGACCAGCACUGACACUGAAGCACGAAAGCGUGGGGAGCGAACAGG